CUAACGGCCGGACGUGUCCCGUCUGUGACCCGACCACCUCUCAGUGCAGCUCUACAGUUACAUGUUCAGGAGACCAGACCAGCUGCUUCCAAGCAACCAUGACAAACGGCUCAGCAACAUAUCCAGUUGUGGGCUGCGUGUCUCCAAACACAUGUGCAGCUGCAGCGAGCCUGAAUAACCUGCCUUUCAUGGAGAGCGUUGGUAACAUCGUCACUGGACCGACCUGCAGCGCCGCAGCCAUCAUCACAACUGUUCAACCAACAAUCUCUACCACACAAGAAGCAACAACUGCUGCCGCAUCAACCAUUGAAACCACAACUGUAGCUGCAGCAACGUCCACUACCUCUGCACCAACCACUGGGACCACAACUGCUGCCGCAUCAACCUCUGAAAUCUCAACUGUUGCUGCAUCAACAUCCACCAGCCCUACACCAGCUCCCACAUCCACCUCUAUUAACUCUACACCCUCUACAGCUGCCUCAUCAACCUCCACCACUCCUGCACCAAAGGCAGAUGGAGCACCAACUGUACCUGUAGCAACAGGUGGAGCAGCUACAACUGUUUCACCAUCUGUAACCAAUGGUGCAUCUGGUUCCAUGACUGUUUCUUCAUCUGUUACUAACGGUGCAGCAGGAGCUGGAACAACCCAGUCAACCACAGUGUCAACAACCAGCAGUUCUGGAGUUUCUGUCCAAAUGUGUCUUUUCAACCUCCUGCUUGGUCUUCUUGUCUUCAUGUUGUAAUUGAUGAUGGAUGUUUUAGGGAACUUACUUUCGUUGGGAAAGUUUCAUUUCUUUCUCACGUUUAAGGAAAACAUCAUCAGAUGGUUAACAAUAUAAAUGUAGGAAAUGUCAGAAACAUCAGGGUAUUAACCUAAACUUUAAAAGUUAUUUUUUAUUAUAAUUGCAAUUAUUUAACAUUCAUAUUUAUUGCUUGUAUUUUGAAAAAAGUGCUAUUUACUAUAUAUUGGUUAAAACCCAACAAUUUAUUUAUAAAUCCUUUAAUGCAAUAUUUAUUUGUCUGUGUUUGCCCUCCUUAUUUAUUGUCUUUUUAAACCAGUUCUAAUAAAGUUUUAAGCCUAAAAAUAAAAUGCGUUUUCUCUUUUUGUAAGGCCUGAGUUGAGGCCCCUGUGAUUCUAAAAAAAAUCAAAAUAAAAAAUAAAAAAACAUGCAUAGCUGUCACCAGAAACUGCAUAUCUCAUUCAGCCAAAUGACCAGAACAGGAGCCAGCCUGCUGCUGUGCUGUCCAUGGUACCAAAUAAACAUUUUUCAGUGUCCCAGUCCUGCAGUAGAUAUGUUUACCUCUCAAAGGUUCAGAUCUACUCUGUUCAUCAAACCUCUCAACCUGUACCACCUAUGAAUUACCUAUGAAUCUCAGAAUUGGAAUUCCCGAUUUCUAGACCCAUCAACAUUAGGUGCAGUGCUGAGUUCAAACAGCAUGACCACCAAACAUUUGAAGUGACAUACUCCUCUCCGUGCCUGACCCUCACCUGGAUCCUGACUACUCUGGUUUUCCUCUGAUGCUCUCAUGCUGGUGCCUGACCCCUGCCUGCCUGACCCUGAUUUAGUGUUGUGGACUUUUAGCUGUGCAUCACGCCUGUUGCCCUGUCUGUGCUGAAUAAACCUGCUGCACUUGGA